rnacentral:misc_RNA from 1 species
GAUGAAGAACGCAGCGAAAUGCGAUACGUAAUGUGAAUUGCAGAAUUCAGUGAAUCAUCGAGUCUUUGAACGCACAUUGCGCCCCCUGGUAUUCCGGGGGGCAUGCCUGUCCGAGCGUCAUUGCUGCCCUCAAGCACGGCUUGUGUGUUGGGCCUCCGUCCUCCUCCCGGGGGACGGGCCCGAAAGGCAGCGGCGGCACCGCGUCCGGUCCUCGAGCGUAUGGGGCUUCGUCACCCGCUCUUGUAGGCCCGGCCGGCGCUUGCCGACACAUCAAUCUUUUUUCCAGGUUGACCUCGGAUCAGGUAGGGAUACCCGCUGAACUUAAGCAUAUCAAUAAGCGCAGGA